CGGAGGUGGUCAGUGCUAGAGAAAGAGGCUACCGAGAAGGUCAAAUAUAAAAGUAAAUUAACAAACAAACAAGGCUGAGCAAAGCAAGUCUAUUGGAAGAGUUCUAAACGGUCUCAAAGAAGACAGGCAGAAGGCAGCAAAGAUAUAAGUAUUUCUCUCCUCUUUUUAUUUUCUACAAAACCCUCCCCUCUUUUUUGCCAUAUACGUUGAGUGGACGGAGAAAGGAAAAUGAUGACACCUAGAGGAAAAAUGAUAAAGAAAUAAAAGACAUGAAAGUCAUGCAGCAGAGGAGGAACUCUCUUCCGGAGGACUCCAAUUGGAGGGAAUUGCUACGAGAAUUACAGAAUAUUUCAGUGAAAAAGGUUUCUACUGACACAUUGCCAGGAAAGUGUACUGGAUAUAAGAGUGAAAUGAAAGGUCUGGACUCAAAUCAGUGCUUAGCUAUCAUGUUUACUUGA
rnacentral:lncRNA from 11 species